GUUGUGAAUUACUUCUGAAGACAAGUGCAAUCAGAGGCAGCAUUACCCAUAGGAUGAUAGAAAGGCCAGAAAUAAGACAGAAUGCCCAAGCAUACUGCCCAAGAGGCAUUUCAAGUUGGCCACCAAGUGAAGACCAGUCUGCCGACGUACAUGGCGAGCUAACGGGACAAACUGGUUACAGUGGGAAAGCUGUUCAUACGGAGGAGAGAUGAGAGAUGCAGGAGUCCAGUGGAUGAUGUAGGGGAAACACCUCUGCUUCAUGUCUAUGACACCUUCAAUAACGCUUUGAGGUAUAGUUAUGAUACAUAAACAACAGGAACAUCUGCCUUACACCGCCUGGCUGAGCACUAACAAACUACAAAACAAAGGGAUUGUGCCAAGGAAUGAGAGCGUAUGCUAGAAAAGACAAUGAAAUGUAAUCAAGGGCAAAAUUGCAGAAUGAUUCAGUGCUUGUUGUGCUUCCCCAAGUGAACAAAGUAAAGGCUUCAA